rnacentral:rRNA from 1 species
AGUGAACGCUGGCGGUAGGCCUAACACAUGCAAGUCGAACGGCAGCACAGUAAGAGCUUGCUCUUACGGUUGGCGAGUGGCGGACGGGUGAGGAAUACAUCGGAAUCUUCUUUUUCUUGGGUGAUAACGUAGGGAAACUUACGCUAAUACCGCAUACGUCCUACGGUUGUAAUCAGUGGAUCUUCGGACCUUUCGCGUUUGUAUGAGCCGAUGUCGGAUUAGCUAGUUGGCUGGGUAAAGGCCCACCAAGGCGACGAUCCGUAGCUGGUCUGAGAGGAUGAUCAGACAGACUGGAACUGAGACACGGUACAGAGUACUACGGGAGGCAGAAGUGGGGAAUAUUGGACAAUGGGCGAAAGCAUGAUCGAGCAAUACCGAGUGGGUGAAGAAGGACUUCGGGUUGUAAAGACCUUUUGUUGGGAAAGAAAAGAAGCAGGAUAAAACACAGCUGUUGUGACGGUACCAAAAGAAAAAGCACCGGCUAACUUCGUG